GCUGGUGUGGCAGAGCGGUUAAUGCGCUGGUCUCGAAAACCAGUUCCGAAAGGAAUCGCAGGUUCAAAUCCUGCCGCCAGCG
rnacentral:tRNA from 1 species